rnacentral:rRNA from 1 species
GACGAACCGUGCGAACGUUUUUCGGAAUCACUGGGCUUAAAGGGCGCGUAGGCGGGUCUGCAAGUCGGAGGUGAAAGCCCGCAGCUCAACUGUGGAAGUGCCCCCGAUACUGUGGAUCUCGAGGGAGGUAGGGGCGUGCGGAACUUCCGGUGGAGCGGUGAAAUGCGUAGAUAUCGGAAGGAACACCGGUGGCGAAAGCGGCGCGCUGGACCUCUUCUGACGCUGAGGCGCGAAAGCCAGGGGAGCAAACGGG